rnacentral:rRNA from 1 species
UCGAGAAUCUUCGGCAAUGGGCGAAAGCCUGACCGAGCGACGCCGCGUGCGGGAUGAAGGCCCUCGGGUUGUAAACCGCUGUCAGUGGGGAGGAAGGCUCUGUGAAGAGCAGGGUUUGACCUAUCCGCAGAGGAAGUCCGGGCUAAGUUCGUGCCAGCAGCCGCGGUAACACGAACCGGACAAACGUUAUUCGGAAUCACUGGGCUUAAAGGGUGCGUAGGCGGUCUGACAAGUUGGGUGUGAAAUCCCUCGGCUCAACCGAGGAAUAGCGCUCAAAACUGUUGGACUUGAGGGAGUUAGAGGUAAGCGGAACUUAGGGUGGAGCGGUGAAAUGCGUUGAUAUCCUAAGGAACACCAGUGGCGAAAGCGGCUUACUGGAGCUUUUCUGACGCUGAGACGCGAAAGCUAGGGUAGCAAACGG